rnacentral:rRNA from 1 species
AGUGAACGCUGGCGGUAGGCCUAACACAUGCAAGUCGAACGGCAGCACAGUAAGAGCUUGCUCUUACGGGUGGCGAGUGGCGGACGGGUGAGGAAUACAUCGGAAUCUACUUUUUCGUGGGGGAUAACGUAGGGAAACUUACGCUAAUACCGCAUACGACCUACGGGUGAAAGCAGGGGAUCUUCGGACCUUGCGCGAUUGAAUGAGCCGAUGUCGGAUUAGCUAGUUGGCGGGGUAAAGGCCCACCAAGGCGACGAUCCGUAGCUGGUCUGAGAGGAUGAUCAGCCACAAUGGAACUGAGACACGGUCCAGAAUCCUACGGGAGGCAGCAGUGGGGAAUAUUGGACAAUGGGCGCAAGCCUGAUCCAGCCAUACCGCGUGGGUGAAGAAGGCCUUCGGGUUGUAAAGCCCUUUUGUUGGGAAAGAAAAGCAGCAGGUUAAUACCCCGCUGUUCUGACGGUACCCAAAGAAUAAGCACCGGCUAACUUCGUG